CAUGUAUUACCAUUGUCUGUCUGUCUGUUUACCAGUAUUUACAGUUGACGCAACAGAUUAUGAGAUACAGAUGAAACAUGCAGGGAACCAUGUAAAUGAUUCUGAAAGUGGCUACCCAGGUGCUGUUUAAGGAAGCUUGUAAUAGGAGUGGAAAACCACCCAAAAACUAUGUGUCUCAAAAUGCCAGUAGAGACAUAGAAAGAAGAGAGGAACUAGCUGGGAUAUCAUUAUGAAGAACCUAACCUCCUUGGAGUCAAACUAUAUUCAGAGGGAAUGCAGAUACUGAGGCACCCUAGCUCAUCUAGGAAGUCGGGAAGAAAAAG